UACGGGGGGGGCGAGCGUUGUUCGGAAUUACUGGGCGUAAAGGGCUCGUAGGUGGCCAAUUAAGUCAGACGUGAAAUCCCCAGGCUUAACCUGGGAACUGCGUCUGAUACUGGUUGGCUUGAAUUCGGGAGAGGGAUGCAGAAUUCCAGGUGUAGCGGUGAAAUGCGUAGAUAUCUGGAGGAAUACCGGUGGCGAAGGCGGCAUCCUGGACCGAUAUUGACACUGAUGAGCGAAAGCCAGGGGAGCAAACGGG
rnacentral:rRNA from 1 species